rnacentral:rRNA from 1 species
CCGGCGACCGGCGCACGGGUGAGUAACACGUAUGCAACCUGCCCUCUUCAGGGGGACAACCUUCCGAAAGGGAGGCUAAUCCCGCGUAUAUCGGUUUCGGGCAUCCGAGAUCGAGGAAAGAUUCAUCGGAAGAGGAUGGGCAUGCGGCGCAUUAGCUAGACGGCGGGGUAACGCCCACCGUGGCGACGAUGCGUAGGGGUUCUGAGAGGAAGGUCCCCCACACUGGUACUGAGACACGGACCAGACUCCUACGGGAGGCAGCAG